GAUGAACGCUGGCGGCGUGCUUAACACAUGCAAGUCGAGCGAGAAGUUUUGAAAAGAUUCUUCGGAUGAAAUUUAAAAUGGAAAGCGGCGGACGGGUGAGUAACGCGUAGGCAACCUGCCCCAUACAAAGGGAUAGCAUUUGGAAACGAAUAUUAAUACCUUAUGAAACUUAACUAGUGCAUGCUAGGUAGGUCAAAGAUUUAUCGGUAUGGGAUGGGCCUGCGUCUGAUUAGCUAGUUGGUGAGGUAACGGCUCACCAAGGCGACGAUCAGUAGCCGACCUGAGAGGGUGAACGGCCACAUUGGAACUGAGACACGGUCCAAACUCCUACGGGAGGCAGCAGUGGGGAAUAUUGCACAAUGGGGGAAACCCUGGUGCAGCAACGCCGCGUGAACGAUGAAGGCCUUUGGGUCGUAAAGUUCUGUUCUAGGUGAUGAAAACUGACAGUAACCUAGGAGAAAGCCCCGGCUAACUCCGUG
rnacentral:rRNA from 1 species